GGUUAAGUGACUAAGCGUACACGGCGGAUGCCUUGGCAGUCAGAGGCGAUGAAGGACGUGCUAACCUGCGUUAAGUACGGAUGAGCUGGUAAGAAGCGCUUGAGUCCGUAA
rnacentral:rRNA from 1 species